rnacentral:rRNA from 1 species
GACGAACGCUGGCGGCGUGCUUAACACAUGCAAGUCGAACGGAAAGGCCCUGCUUUUGUGGGGUGCUCGAGUGGCGAACGGGUGAGUAACACGUGAGUAACCUGCCCUUGACUUUGGGAUAACUUCAGGAAACUGGGGCUAAUACCGGAUAGUAGCUCCUGCUGCAUGGUGGGGGUUGGAAAGUUUCGGCGGUUGGGGAUGGACUCGCGGCUUAUCAGCUUGUUGGUGGGGUAGUGGCUUACCAAGGCUUUGACGGGUAGCCGGCCUGAGAGGGUGACCGGCCACAGGGGGAAAGAGAUACGGGCCGGACUCCUAAGGGAGGCAGGAGUGGGGAAGAAUGCACAAUGGGGGGAAGCCGGGUGCAGGAACGCCGCGUGAGGGAUGACGGCCUUCGGGUUGUAAACCGGUUUCGGCUGUGAAGGAACGUGGGUGACGGUAAUGGGUAAAGAAGCACCGGCUAACUACGUG